GCGCUGAAAUUCGGCAGGGAAGAAGUUAUGGUGCCCAGCCUCUGUGUGCAAGACAGAGACACCGCGCAUCAUGGCUCUGAAAAUCAGCCAAGUGGCCGGCACGUCAAACCGACAGAGCAAUCAGAAUGCCCUGGAACCGGGGAUGGAGGGACCACAUUGUUUGAGCCCUCGGAUUUUGCUGCAUUGUCACCGCCCGGGAACGUAGGGGUAGCAGGAAGCGCACCUCCAGCCAAAAAUGGACCGGACGCAUUUUUUUCCCCCGGCGGCUCCCUCCCCGCCUGUCUGCAAGUCGCAAUACGUUCAGAUUUAUUUGGAGAAAACAAAAAACUACAACCCAAAGGAUGGGAUUUUACAUCUCAAGACAUCUCACAGAAUGUCUCUCUGGCUUCCUCUCCCUCUCAGAGACCCAAAUUGGAACUGAAACCCUGAGUACAGCAAAACUGCAUUUCCCAAGCUCCUCGUCUCUCAAUGGGUCACAUGACUUGUUCUAGCCAAUAGAACAAGGGUGGAAGUAAUGCAACCACUUUCAGCUGGCCCCUAAAGUCUCCUGUGAGAUCUUCCAAUCUUGCUCUCCUCUCUCUGCAUGGCUGGAAGUGCAUACUCUGAUAUCUGAAACCACAUGAUGAAGGAGCCAGGACGCCUAAGUUCACCACUUAGAGAAGAGACACCUUGAAGAGUUAUUCUGGAGAGCCGGCUGACCAAACUCAUUGGAUUGUAACAUAUAUAAGAAUAUAAACCUUUCAUUCUGAUAUGCCACAGGCACAUUAUGGAUUGUAUUACAAUGACUAGCAUUAGCUAUCCUGAUUAACAGACCCUGUGACAAGAUUCUUUAUUGCUAAAAGAAAAAAAAAAAGCAAUGGCUGAUACCAUUUAAAAUAAAACUUACAAUUAGGGCAAUUCAGUUUGAAAUGUGUUUAUGAAGUUAUUUCAUAGCACUAAUUACAGUUCUAACAAUAAGUAUUUCUGUAGGUGUAUUUUCAAUUCUCUACUAAGUAGUAAGCUCUGUGGGACUGGAAGUUGUACCUGUUUUGUUCUUCACUGCAGAGGUCAUACUCCUCAGAGUACAGGACCCAUGGUGGGAAAUAUUAGCUUCAUGAAUGAGUGAAUGAAUGACUACACACAAGGUUUGAUAAUUAGCAUCCAGAAUAACAAAGAUGAAUACAAUGAAUUAAUGAUUCAUAGUGAGGCUUAGUCAAGUAUACAAAAAGAACAAGAUGAAAUGCAACAUAAUUGUGAUAUUAUGAAGUAUAGACUUGGUCUUCACCCCUGUUUACUGUCAUACACACAAUUCCUAAGAUGCUUGGAAUCUCCAAAGUGCUGUCUCUUUGUACGCUAAUGUUCACUGAUAGCUUUAGGAUGGAGGUGGUCACCAGAAUGGCAAAGGCAUGAUUAGAGGGUUGGAACUUCUGGGCCCACCUCCCCAACUUCCAGGGAGAAGAGCGGGGCUGAAAGACAAACUGAUCAGCAAUGGCCUGUGGUUUGAUCAUAAUGAAGCCUCCAUAAAAACCCAAGAGGACAGAGUUUGGCAAGCUUUUAGAUAGCUGAACACGUGAAGGCUCCCAGAGGAUGGCAUGCCCAGUGAGGGCAUGGAUGCUUCACACCCCUUUCUUCAUACCUUACCAUACACAUCUCUUCAUCUAUAUUCUUUAUAGUAUCUUUUAUAAUAAACCAGUAAAUGUA
rnacentral:lncRNA from 1 species